UAGGGAAUCUUNGGCAAUGGGGGCANCCCUGANCGAGCACCGCCGCGCGAGUGUAGAAGNCAGCAGAUCNGUAAAGCUCGUGUUGUAAGUCAAGAACGAGUGUGAGAGUGGAAAGUUCACAAAAAAACGGUAGCUUCCCAGAAAGAACGGCGAACUAAUACCAGCAGCCGCGGUAAUACGUAGGUCCCCAGCGUUGUCCUGAUUUAUUGGGCGUAAAGCGAGCGCAGGCGGUGGAUAAGUCUGAAGUUAAAGAAUGUGGCUCAUCCAUAGUUCGCUUUGGAAACUGUCAAACAUGAGUGCAGAAGGGGAGAGUGGAAUUCCAUCAAAGCGGUGAAAUGCGUAGACAUAUGGAGGAACACCGGUGGCGAAAGCGGCUCUNUGGUCUGUAAGAGACGCUGAGGCUCGAAAGCGUGGGGAGCGAACAGGAUUAGAUACCCUGGUAGUUCACGCCGUAAACGAUGAAUGAUAGGUGUGGGUUCCUGUCCGGGAUUCAGUGCCCCAGCAAACGCAAUAAGCAAUCCGCCUGGGGAGUACGUCCGCAAGUUG
rnacentral:rRNA from 1 species